rnacentral:rRNA from 1 species
UUCGUGAGGAAGGUGGUGUAGUUAAUAGCUGCAUUACUUGACGUUAGCGACAGAAGAAGCACCGGCUAACUCCGUGCCAGCAGCCGCGGUAAUACGGAGGGUGCGAGCGUUAAUCGGAAUUACUGGGCGUAAAGCGCAUGCAGGUGGUUUGUUAAGUCAGAUGUGAAAGCCCGGGGCUCAACCUCGGAAUAGCAUUUGAAACUGGCAGACUAGAGUACUGUAGAGGGGGGUAGAAUUUCAGGUGUAGCGGUGAAAUGCGUAGAGAUCUGAAGGAAUACCGGUGGCGAAGGCGGCCCCCUGGACAGAUACUGACACUCAGAUGCGAAAGCGUGGGGAGCAAACAGGAUUAGAUACCCUGGUAGUCCACGCCGUAAACGAUGUCUACUUGGAGGUUGUGGCCUUGAGCCGUGGCUUUCGGAGCUAACGCGUUAAGUAGACCGCCUGGGGAGUACGGUCGCAAGAUUAAAACUCAAAUGAAUUGACGGGGGCCCGCACAAGCGGUGGAGCAUGUGGUUUAAUUCGAUGCAACGCGAAGAACCUUACCUACUCUUGACAUCCAGAGAACUUUCCAGAGAUGGAUUGGUGCCUUCGGGAACUCUGAGA